UAUGCUCAUUGCAGCACUAUUCACAAUAGCAAAAACAUGUAAUCCACCUAAAUGCCCAUCAAUGAUAGACUGGAUAAAGAAAAUGUGGUACACAUACACCAUGGAACAUAGGCUCAAAAUAAAAGGAUGGAGGAAGAUCUACCAAGCAAAUGGAAAACAAAGAAAGGCAGGGGUUGCAAUCCUAGUCUCUGAUAAAACAGACUUUAGACAUGAACAGACACUUCUCAAAAGAAGACAUUUAUGCAGCCAAAAGACACAUGAAAAAAUGCUCAUCAUCACUGGCCAUCAGAGAAAUGCAAAUCAAAACCACAAUGAGAUACCAUCUCACACCAGUUAGAAUGGCAAUCAUUAAAAAGUCAGGAAACAACAGGUGCUGGAGAGGAUGUGGAGA
rnacentral:lncRNA from 1 species